rnacentral:lncRNA from 1 species
CUUGUUUCUAAAGGCAGAUGAUUAUAGUUUAGCUUCUACUAAUGAAAGAACACAUAUGGGAUGGAACUCAGAACUGAGUAAAAUGGAAAAAGAGAUUGGACCAAGAGUAGUCAUUUUUGUUGGCUUGUGUUUAUCAAAGACAGCUGAGUUCUAGAGUCAGCCACUAGGAAGACAAAUUCCUGAUUCUAUUACUUUAUGAUCAUGACAAAGGCAGUAUUGGUACUACAUCCCUACAUCAAAAC